UCUAUGUGGUUGAGGUGCAUCUGAAUUAUGCCCCUUUGUGGAAUAUUUACAUCACUAAGGAAGUGAGGUGGUUCAUUCUGGCCUCAAUUUCAUAUUGUGUGUAAUGUGACCAGAGAUUAAGUCUGAUUGGGUACAAGUUUUUUAGGCAUAUUAAAUACCCUGAGUGUCCAAGCACAUGGCACUUAGUAUCCAGCAUUGCACAGCACAGCAGCAGCAGCAGCACUGUUACUUGCCACAGAAGGUGCCAAAAAGGGGUAGAAUAGUAAACUCCAUUCCAUUCCAUAGAUGGGGUGAUGUUUUUGUGGACUUAACUACCCAACGGAGAAUAAAAUGUCCUCCCCUA